GGGGAUAUAGCUCAGUGGUAGAGCGCUGCUUUUGCACAGCAGAUGUCAGGAGUUCGACUCCCCUUAUCUCCACAA
rnacentral:tRNA from 1 species